rnacentral:rRNA from 1 species
GACGAACGCUGGCGGCGUGCUUAACACAUGCAAGUCGAACGGAAAGGCCCUGCUUGCAGGGUGCUCGAGUGGCGAACGGGUGAGUAACACGUGGGUGAUCUGCCCCUUACUUUGGGAUAAGCCUGGGAAACUGGGUCUAAUACUGGAUAGGACCAUGCUGUAGGUGGUGUGGUGGAAAGAUUAGUUUCGGUAAGGGAUGAGCUCGCGGCCUAUCAGCUUGUUGGUGGGGUAAUGGCCUACCAAGGCGUCGACGGGUAGCCGGCCUGAGAGGGUGGACGGCCACAUUAGGACUGAGAUACGGCCCAGACUCCUACGGGAGGCAGCAGUGGGGAAUAUUGCACAAUGGGCGCAAGCCUGAUGCAGCGACGCCGCGUGGGGGAUGACGGCCUUCGGGUUGUAAACUCCUUUCAGCCAUGACGAAGCCCUUGUGGUGACGGUAGUGGUAGAAGAAGCACCGGCUAACUACGUG